rnacentral:rRNA from 1 species
GAGCGCCUACGGGAGGCAGCAGUGGGGAAUUUUGGACAAUGGGCGCAAGCCUGAUCCAGCUAUUCCGCGUGUGGGAUGACGGCUCUCGGGUUGUAAACCACUUUAGUAGAGAACGAAAAGGAGCUAUCGAAUAAAUAGCUCUGCUGACGGUACUCUAAGAAUAAGCACCGGCUAACUACGUGCCAGCAGCCGCGGUAAUACGUAGGUGGCGAGCGUUAUCCGGAAUGAUUGGGCGUAAAGGGUGCGUAGGCGGCCUGCUAAGUCUGGAGUGAAAGGUACCGGCUCAACCGGUACAGGCUCUGGAA